CAGCAGCCACGGGAAUACGUAGGUGGCAAGCGUUGUCCGGAAUUAUUGGGCGUAAAGGGCUCGCAGGCGGUUUCUUAAGUCUGAUGUGAAAGCCCCCGGCUCAACCGGGGAGGGUCAUUGGAAACUGGGAAACUUGAGUGCAGAAGAGGAGAGUGGAAUUCCACGUGUAGCGGUGAAAUGCGUGGAGAUGUGGAGGAACACCAGUGGCGAAGGCGACUCUCUGGUCUGUAACUGACGCUGAGGAGCGAAAGCGUGGGGAGCGAACAGGAUUAGAUACCCCUGUAGUCCCUGUCUCUUAUAA
rnacentral:rRNA from 1 species